AUUGAACGCUGGCGGCAGGCCUAACACAUGCAAGUCGAACGAGUGGCGGACGGGUGAGUAAUGUCUGGGAAACUGCCCGAUGGAGGGGGAUAACUACUGGAAACGGUAGCUAAUACCGCAUACCAUCGGAUGUGCCCAGAUGGGCUUAGCUAGUCGGUGGGGUAACGGCUCACCUAGGCGACGAUCCCUUGCUGGUUUGAGAGGAUGACCAGCUACACUGGAACUGAGACACGGUCCAGACUCCCACGGGAGGAAGCGAUGGGGAAUAUUGCAAAAUUGGCGCAAGCCUGAAACAGCCAUGCCGCGUGUCUGCAGGAGGCCUUCGGGUUUUAAAGUACUUACCGUCAGGCGGGGUUACUCGGAGAAGAAGCGCCGGCUAACUCCGUGCCAGCAGCCGCGGUAAUUC
rnacentral:rRNA from 1 species